rnacentral:lncRNA from 1 species
CAAUAAAGGUUAGUCAUCACGUCCUAGAGGCCUUUCUAGCCAUGUGAUCAUAGUAGUUGAACGUACUGUAUCAUAAGCCAAUGUCAGCACUGAGGUUUUGAGUUCCAAUCCAGCAAAUGGCAGGUAUGCUUGAUUCUGAUCUAAUUGACUACUAGGAUUUACAGUUUUCUUACAAAAGGUCUGUGGUUUUCACCUUAACUUCCUGCUUCUUCCUCCAAUAAAAACUGAUUGCUACUAAAAAAAAUCACAAUAGUUCUGGAAUGUGGCAUUAAACAUCAAUCAAUCAUUCCGUCAAUCAUCUGGCCCUAUUAAUUAUUUAACAUUCAUAGACUCUUCUCAAUAUACUUGUUUUAGAGGUUAAGCAAUUGAUGUCAGAGUCAAUCCUUUACAAUAAAGUUCAACAUGCUGACUUUGUUGGUACCAUACUUGUUAGUAAGUUGAAGUAUUCUAAGAAAUAAAAUGUUAGCGUAUUGAAACAAUAAACACAUAUUGGUAAAAUUAUUUAUGACAGUAUGUUAAAGAAGUCCUCAAUAGUUAUUUAUUCUAUUUUUGAAAAAAAACCUUGAAGACAAUUUGAAAGUCCUGUUUGAUAUGAAGUGCACAUGUACAAGUACAUGUUACAUGUGUAUUUGGUGUAUGGUUUAUAUGUCUUUAUAGUGUAUAAGGAAUGCUGUCUUUAUUGCAUUUUGUGGUUUCCAAAUUUGUGGAUUUAGAAAAGGAUUUCACUUUGUUUGAUUCUAUUUUGUGGUUUUGACAUAAGUUCUCCAAAAUCCAUGUAAUUUUAUAGUUCCCAAGGAAUAAUGAUAAAUCCCCAGUACAUAGAUCCCACAUAUCAUUUCCCUUAUUUCUACAAUAAAGUUGAUGAUGGAACUUUUUUGCACUAGUUUAACCUCUAUUGCUUCUGUUCAUUGAACUGAGAUUUUAGAUUGUUCUAGACUUGAUUGAAAACCAAUUAUUGAUGUAACCUGGCAGUUUGGUAAGAAUGUAGUUACAAUCAUUGUCAGUGUGUUAAUCAGAAUUAUUCAUCAGUUAAAGUUAUAUGUUACUAUAAUUUACUUCUGUCUACCAAAAUAACUUUACCAAAAAUCUCUGGUAUUUAGUGGAAUUUUGUUGUGGUAAAGUAAUAAAAAAGAUACAGUAAAGAAUUGUGAAGUAAUUUAGUUUUCUAUAUGUUUUGUUAUGUAUUUUAAAAAUCUGUGAUUUAACAUUGUGAUUGAAAAAAUGAGAAUAACAAUUAUGCAUCAAUUGAAAAAAAAUGUGUACAAUCGAACUUUUCAGUUAAAAAUCAUACCACAUCUUCUUAUAUCUAUUGAAUGAAUUUGACCCUUGACUUUAACUUCAACUUGUACAUACUCUUGUGAUAAUUCUAAAAAUUUUCUUUUUGUAUUCCAGAUAUAUAUUAAUGGUCCUUUAGACUCCUGAAACCUGGGGCUCUUAGCCAAACACUAAAUUCAAGUCACAGCAACAACUUACAGUCCACUCGGAGCUGGAGACAUAACCAGCAGAAUUUAUAG